UACACUUGUAAUUAUUCCUUAUCUUGUCUUUCCUCAAUUUUCCACGUGUUCAUCCAAGCAUCCCAAUAUUUUGCCUUGGUAAUUUUAUGCAAAUUUGUUUCUUCACCUCCUAUGAACUAUUAAAGCCUCAGUUGGGGAAAACAUAGCCAGUCCUAAACUUGGAUAAUAAGUAUUACAUAAGGUUACAAGUAGUGCAAAAUUUUGUUACAUCUUUAUUGUUAGAGUAGGAAUGUAAAUGUUAGGUGACUAAUUUGGGCUGUAAUAAGGAGA
rnacentral:misc_RNA from 1 species